ACUAACGGAAUUUAAAGCCACUCCGUAUUACUUAUAUUCUCACUCUUAUCAUUUGUAACAGAGUUUAAUUACAUUAUCAUUUUAAGCCAAAUUAAACCUUAAAUUUGCUUGUUUAAAAAAAGUUAGUUUGGUACAUGAGAGUGAAAAACAUUUGUUUACGUCAUCAUUUUAAUAUAAUGACCUAACAUGUCUAAUUUUUAAAUUUUAGGUAUGGUUAGCAAAAUACGAAAUAGUUAUAGUAUCAAAAAAAAUACAUACAUGUAUUCUUCAGCAACUGUGCUAAAGUAAUACUUCAAAAAAUUCAGCCAUUUUUCAAAAUUUAAUAUUUUUUUUCUUUCAAAUAUAUGUUUAAUAUUCAAGUACAAUGCGUGAAUAUUAUUGGUAUUAUUGGAAAAAUAUUUGAAAAUACGUGUUUUUAAUGUAAAAAGUAUGCAGGUAUGUGUAUAAUACGUAUCAUAUGUAGGAAUUUUAAAAAACAUGCCAUUUAACGAAUUAUAAAUGUGUAUGAAAAAACAAAAUUUUAAAAAAUAUGUAUGUAUGCAUACAUUAAGAAUAUUAUGAGCAAAUAUUGUGACAGCCUGUCCCUGAAAAUUAUGGUUUUUGUAAUUUUAAAAGUGUGAAUUUACGAAAAUGCCCUAGAGGUGAAGGUGUUGACUUUCAUUGACCAAUGUGUAGUGAGACGUAUUAAAUAUUCUUUUAGCGUAUUCCUGAAGUACUCGACGAUAUGAACGAGUAAGCACAAGCAGAAGUGAAUUUGGAAUUACAAACCGAAAGUAUUUUGAAGAAAUAACUAUUCUAUUUAUAUUAUAUUAAUGUAUGCUAAAUUAGGAGGACGUGUGUGUGUGUGUGUGUGUGUGUGUGUGUGUGUGUGUAUGUGACAGAAAGGGGGAAGAAAAAGAAAAGGAAUGGGGG
rnacentral:lncRNA from 1 species